UCAAUUGAGCUGCUGGCUGGCGCGCUGGCCGACUGCUGCGCACAUAGUUACAAAGCGGCACUAAAGCGGGCUAGGAGACUAGCAAAGUGCCACACGCACGUCCCUCUCAGCGCUCUCAAUGGCUGGAAAUGGCGGCUACGUUGCCAACCAACAAUGGCAAGGGACGCAUGCACACGUUCAAUCGGUUUUUCUUACUAUAAAAGCUGUGGAGCAAACAGUUUGCCGGUAUAAAUGUUGGAUGGGUGGAUGCAUGGAUGAAUUGAUUGAUUUGAGUUUGAUGUGGUGUUCCUCGCUUGCUGCUUACAAUGGCUUGGCUCGAGCAUGGUCCGUUCAUCCAGUUUCCAUCCAAUCAAUCAAAUCAAGGUACCCCUCUGCAAGAACGUUAUGGGGGUAGAGGACUAUCUAGACAAGCAUGAAAAAGAAUGGGUUUCUCAGAUAAUCUAUGUGCGAUGUUCUGUGGUCGAUUCGUCCGGGAUGAGAGGUACACACAAGCACGCGGGCUUCGGAUGGAUCUCUCUGCUUUGGGGAGGAAGAACAUGAGAGUUGUAUACAUAUGUAUGGGAUUGAAUGAAUGCCCUUACGCUCUCUGGAUCGGUGCCGUGCAGCAGGGUCUAGCAGCUCAGCAAAUGUUACACCACCAACAACAGAAAACAAAAGCAAAAAAAAUAAGGAAAAAAUCGUGAGUCGUAUGCGACUGAAAAGAGGAACACGCGCGCAGGAGGGGAGAGAAAUCCUCUAGUUUAUGCACUGCAGUGCCCGCCGGCCGAGUCUUUCGCUUGAGUAAGUUGGAAGCUCCAAGCACGAGAAACAUCGAGGCGAGAGCAAAGCACAAGCAAUGGUGGGGCGGGGGGGGAGGAAAUCAUAAAAUAUUCACUCCAGGGGACGAGUGAGUGACUGAGAGAGAGAGAGAGAGAGAGAGACAACAAAAAAAAAGAACAAAGAAAAGAAUCGCAACGAUGGAAGAACACCUCUCGUACGGGCGCGAUCAAGAGAAGUUUCUUUAUGAAAGCUUCGGCGAAUUGCGAGAGUGUUUUGUUCGGAUUUCAUUAUGGUGGAGAGGAGACUCAUGAUCCAGAUCUGAACGCAGCAGCAGCUGCCAGCCGGGCAGAGAUGGAGUUUUGCUUUCGUUUUUCUUUGCAUUUUUUGUAUCUGUGAGUCUGGAGCUCGAUUUGGAAGCAAAAAAACUAAUUUCUUGA